rnacentral:lncRNA from 1 species
CUUGGUUUUCGCACAAUAACUUUAGUAUAAGUAAAUAGAAAUCUAUGAAAUUUUAACAAAAGGUCUAUGACCACAAAAGGAAGGUUGGGAUUGAUUUUGGGAGUUUUAGUCCCAACAGUUUAGGAAUUAGGGCAAAAACAGGUCCCAAAUAAGCAUUUUUCUUAGUUUUUGCACUAUAACUUUAGUAUAAGUUAAUAGAAAUCUAUGAAAUUUUAAGACAAGAUGACCACAAAGAAAAUGUUUGGAUUGAUUUUGGGAGUUUUGGUCCCGACUAAUUAGGGGCCAAAAGGGGCCAAAUUAAACUUAAUUUGUUUGAUUUCAUCAAAAAAUGAAUUAUUGGGCUUCGUUGGUAUGCCAUAUCUGACCGUGUCUUCAGAUUCUUAAUUUUUGGUCCUGUUUUCAAAUUGGUCUACAUUAAGGUCCAAAGGGUCCAAAAUUAAACUUAGCUUGAUUUUAACAAAUUCUUGGGGUUCUUUGAUAUGAUGAAUCUAAACAUGUACUUAGAUUUUUGAUUAUGGGUCCAGUUUUCAAGUUGGUCCAAAUCAAGGUCCAAAAUUAUUAUAUUAAGUAUUGUGCAAUAGCAAGAAAUUUUCAAUUGCACAGUCUUGCCCAAUAGCAAGAAAUCUUCAAUUGCACAGUAUUGUGCAAUAACAAGAAAUGUUCAAUUGCACAGUUUUAUGAAAUAUGCUUUAAUAAUUGUAUUUAUCUUCCUUUGUCCAGAAGAGUAGUUGAAUUAACUUAAAUCAUUGUUUUAUACAAUAUACAAUGUAUAUUCACUUUUACUACCAACUAAUAAAUUAAAACAAUCUUUACCAUUCAGUGAUUACAAGCACUUUUUUUACAUUUUUAUAUUUUAAGAUGUAUCUAAAUGAGUAGUUAUUGUUGCAAACUCCAUUAGAAAUUUGAAUUGAGAUCAGUUUUGGUAUAAGGGAAAGGAGGAUGUGAAAAACAUGGGGGGGGCAAUUUUUCUCAUUUCUGAUUUCAUAAAUAAAAAGAAAAUUUCUUCAAACAUUUUUUUGAGAGGAUUAAUAUUCAACAGCAUAGUGAAUUGGUCAAAGGCAAAAAAAAUGUUUUAAGUUCAUUAGACCACAUUCACUGUGUGUCAAAAACCUUUGCUGUGUCAACUAUUCAAUCACAAUCCAAAUUUAGAGCUGAAUCCAGCUUGAAUGUUGUAUCCAUUAUACUUGCCCCAACCGUUCAGGGUUCAACCUCUGUGGUCGUAUAAAGCCGCGCCCUGUGGAGCAUCUGGUUAUUUUUUCAUUUACAAUUUUAUAUCGAUUAAAAAAUAUAUGUUUGACUGAAAGCCUAGCGUUCAUACAUGGUUUGAGUAAAAUGAUUCAUUCCUUCGUUAAUAUAUGAAUACGUUCGUUAAUAUAUGAAUACGACAUUCGCAUCAUUGAAAUUGGGUGCCGAUUUUUUUGGGGGUAUUUUUUGGGGGGUAUUUUUUUUGUUUGUUUUUCUUUUUUUCUUUAAAUCCUGUACACAAAAUAAAAUUUGAGAUUUGUUCAAUAGCACUGUAUUUCUUAUUUUCCGACUUAACUUUGUCACUUUUUCAGAUCAAAAUACUUUGCCAAAUGAUGUUUAACACGCGUCUGGCGUACUAAAUUAUAAUCCUGGUACCUUUGAUAACUAUUAAUGUAUAAUUUCAACAGUUUUCCUGUUUAUGAUAUUAAAUUAUAAAUUUCGAUUUCAAACUUGUGUAGCGUUACUUUUGUUGACUAGUAUACUUGAUGAAUGUGUGAUAGAUGAAAACAUGUGCUUCUGUCCUCCGUCUUGUGUUUCUUAACAGCUACAGAUGAUAACUUCUUUGUAUUAUAUUCUAGCUUUGAUAAGAUAAGCCUUACAAUAUUAUAAAUUUUUCUGUCGUGCGUAUACUUUUUGCAUGACAAAUAAAUGUUUUACUUUAAAAUGUAAAGAACUGAUAGCAUUGUUCUUUUUACACGGUUUUAAGUUCGGAAAUGUCAGCAAACAUUAUAACACAGAUUUCUGUGAAUUUACAUUGUUAAAAGAGUUUUUACUAUUCUCCUCUAGUUUCAGGUAAACAAAAUGAUUGAGAUGGUUGGUUGAACAAAAAUUAACCGGACAAAACCAACAGGCAGUUAUAUCGUUAUAUAUUAUAUAUAGUUUGUGGACUUGAAAUUGUUUUUGUUAAAAUGUUCAAUACGGUAUGAUUUUUUAAAAUUUUUCUUCAAGUAUUCCUGACUAUAACUUUUUUCGGAGAUGAAAAAGAAAAACAGAAAAAAGAAAGUCAACAAAGCAUUACAAACCCAAUGAUGAAUUAUGUCAUCCGGAACGGUCAGCAGUUUUUGAAUAUAGACGCAUCAUGGUAUGUCAUGAUUUUUGUAGUCUAUGAAAUUUGACAAAAAAUAAGCAAGGAGUCAAAAGUACAGAUGUACUUUGGAGAUAAAGUUAAAUUUUGAAGAAAAAAAAUAUCAGAAUAUAUUUUUUGUCAUCUUUUUAUUAUAACGUAUUGCUUAUGACAUAUGUGAUUUUGUCUUAAUACUUAUAAAUUUAUGGUUGCAAACUAUUAAUUAUAUGAUAUGAAUCUUUUUUAUUGUACAGAUAAUUUAAAUGUGUUCAUUUGAUGUACCCCGCUCAUAACACCUUAAUUUGUAAAACAUGUGCCUUUGUCCAACAAAUUAGUGCAUUGCGCAUUAUGGAGUCAUAAAUAUUUUAUCUGGAGUCAGUUUCAUAACCAAAAGAAAACUUACGACUAUUAACGAUUAAUUGUAAGUCUUGAACAAUUCAACUAGUGUACUUACGAUCAAUCUUAGUCGUAAGUAUUUAUGUGAAAACAUACUCUUGCAUUUAUUGCUAAAUGAAACUAAGGCAUUAUGCCAUUAAUCGUCCAAAUUACUAUAGUAUGAAGAGACUGUUCUAAUUUUUUAACAUGACGCCGUUUUCAAUAAUCAUGAUGUCUUGAACGGCAAUUUUAAUUUCUUUGCAGCAAAGAAUCAAAAUAGCAGUUCAAGACGUCGGGCGUCAGAGAAAACAAAUAUAAAUCGCCUUUAGAAAUAAAAAAAAAACUAUAUUAAAGGUUUCAUAUGAUUAUUUGGACUACUGAAGAAAAUGCUAAAUUAAAUAUGUGUGAAUCUAAUACAGCGCCAUAUGAUGCUCUGCAGGACAGAGAAGUGUUGUAAGUGUUGGG